rnacentral:lncRNA from 1 species
GGCAAUUCCCUGCUUACAUAGAUUUGACAUGCCUAGAUCUGUACUUAUGUAAGAUUAUUUUUAGGCAACAAGCUGGACCCAAAUCUAGGCUCCUCUAGAAAAACUAGAAGUGUGAGACUCUGAUUUAAAUCUGGAUCCUCCAAGAUGGUAAGCAACUGCUUUAUUAUAUGACUUGUGCUUAUUCAAUUUCCCAAGUAGAACUAGACCCAUUCAUAUUAAAACAUAGGAAAAAAACUAUAGGAAAAAGGAUAAUGUUUACAAGAAGGAGCAUAGUGUUCAAUUGUUUGAAGAAUGAUAAAGAUCUGAUAUACAAAAAUCAAGUCCCAGGUGCGUAUCAAAUCAAAUUUAAGGACAUUGAUUUACAACAAGAACAACUUUAUAUAGAGUACACAUCAUGCACACUUCCUAAAAGAAUUUCAGAACAUAAA